CCCAGGGCUGCCUAUACAGCAGCAGCACAUGCAAAUAGGGCCUCCCUCUGCCCAUGAAAACCUGCCCAGCCCUCACCCUGCAGCUCUGGCACAGGAGCUCCAGCCCCAGGACUCCCAGGUGUCCACUCAGUGAUUGCACUCAACACAGACGCUCACCAUGGAGACUGGGCUGCGCUGGCUUCUCCUGGUCGCUGUGCUCAAAGGUGUCCAGUGUCAGGAGCAGCUGAAGGAGACCGGGGGAGGCCUGGUCCAGCCUGGGGGAUCCCUGACACUCUCCUGCAAAGCCUCUGGAUUCGACUUCAGUAGCUACUACAUGAGCUGGGUCCGCCAGGCUCCAGGGAAGGGGCUGGAGUGGAUCGGAACCAUUUAUGCUGGUAAAGGUAGAACAUACUACGCGAGCUGGGUGAAUGGCCGAUUCACCAUCUCCAGCGACAACGCCCAGAACACUGUGGAUCUUCAAAUGAACAGUCUGACAGCCGUGGACAGGGCCACCUAUUUCUGUGCAAGAGACACAGUGAGGGGCCCUCAGGCUGAGCCCAGACACAAACCUCCCUGCAGGGGCGCGCGGCUCCACCAGGGGGCGCACAAAACGCACUGAAUAUAUAUUCUGGUA